AAAGUAUUAGUUUAAAUAAAAAAACAUUGGUUUGUCAAAUCAAAAAUAUUAAUUUUAAUAAUAUUCUUUA
rnacentral:tRNA from 1 species